UGGUGGAGUGAUUUGUCUGGUUAAUUCCGUUAACGAACGAGACCUCGACCUGCUAAAUAGUUCGGCGUAUCUUAGGAUACGUACGUGACUUCUUAGAGGGACUAUCAGGAGAGUAUCCGAUGGAAGUUCGAGGCAAUAACA
rnacentral:rRNA from 1 species